CCUACGGGUGGCAGCAGUGAGGAAUAUUGCGCAAUGGGCGAAAGCCUGACGCAGCGACGCCGCGUGAGGGAUGAAGGUCUUCGGAUCGGAAACCUCUGUCAGCAGGGAAGAACAGUCACUGUGCUGAUCAGCAGUGAAUUUACGGUACCUGCAAAGGAAGCACCGGCUCACUCCGUGCCAGCCGCCGCGGUAAUACGGAGGGUGCGAGCGUUAAUCGGAUUUACUGGGUGUAAAGGGCUCGUGGGCGGUAUGUCAAGUCAGGGGUGAAAUUCCCGCGCUCAACGUGGGAACUGCCUUUGAUACUGGCAAACUUGAGUGUGUGAGAGGAUAGCGGAAUUCAUGGUGUAGGAGUGAAAUGCGUAGAUAUC
rnacentral:rRNA from 1 species